rnacentral:rRNA from 1 species
UACGUAGGGUGCAAGCGUUAAUCGGAAUUACUGGGCGUAAAGGGCGCGUAGGCGGCCUUCUAAGUCAGACGUGAAAUCCCCCGGCUUAACCUGGGAACUGCGUCUGAUACUGGGAGGCUAGAGUGCGGGAGAGGGAUGCGGAAUUCCAGGUGUAGCGGUGAAAUGCGUAGAUAUCUGGAGGAACACCGGUGGCGAAGGCGGCAUCCUGGACCGACACUGACGCUGAGGCGCGAAAGCUAGGGUAGCAAACGGG